UAGAGUUUGAUCCUGGCUCAGGACGAACGCUGGCGGCGUGCUUAACACAUGCAAGUCGAACGAUGACGGCCGUGCUUGCACGGUCUGAUUAGUGGCGAACGGGUGAGUAACACGUGAGUAACCUGCCCUCCACUCUGGGAUAACCCCGAGAAAUCGGAGCUAAUACCGGAUAGGAGCCUUCACCGCAUGGUGGGGGCUGGAAAGUUUUUCGGUGGGGGAUGGACUCGCGGCCUAUCAGUUUGUUGGUGAGGUGAUGGCUCACCAAGGCGAUGACGGGUAGCCGGCCUGAGAGGGCGACCGGCCACACUGGGACUGAGACACGGCCCAGACUCCUACGGGAGGCAGCAGUGGGGAAUAUUGCACAAUGGGCGAAAGCCUGAUGCAGCGACGCCGCGUGGGGGAUGACGGCCUUCGGGUUGUAAACCUCUUUCAGCAGGGAAGAAGCGAAAGUGACGGUACCUGCAGAAGAAGCGCCGGCUAACUACGUGCCAGCAGCCGCGGUAAUACGUAGGGCGCAAGCGUUGUCCGGAAUUAUUGGGCAUAAAGAGCUUGUAGGUGGCUUGUCGCGUCUGCCGUGAAAACCCGAGGCUCAACCUCGGGCGUGCGGUGGGUACGGGCAGGCUAGAGUGUGGUAGGGGAGACUGGAACUCCUGGUGUAGCGGUGAAAUGCGCAGAUAUCAGGAAGAACACCGAUGGCGAAGGCAGGUCUCUG
rnacentral:rRNA from 1 species